AAUGCCGCGUGCAGGAUGAAGGCCUUCGGGUUGUAAACUGCUUUUGUACGGAACGAAACGGUGAGCUCUAAUAAAGUUUGCUAAUGACGGUACCGUAAGAAUAAGCACCGGCUAACUACGUGCCAGCAGCCGCGGUAAUACGUAGGGUGCGAGCGUUAAUCGGAAUUACUGGGCGUAAAGCGUGCGCAGGCGGUUAUAUAAGACAGAUGUGAAAUCCCCGGGCUCAACCUGGGACCUGCAUUUGUGACUGUAUAGCUAGAGUACGGUAGAGGGGGAUGGAAUUCCGCGUGUAGCAGUGAAAUGCGUAGAUAUGCGGAGGAACACCGAUGGCGAAGGCAAUCCCCUGGACCUGUACUGACGCUCAUGCACGAAAGCGUGGGGAGCAAACAGGAUUAGAUACCCUGGUAGUCCACGCCCUAAACGAUGUCAACUGGUUGUUGGGUCUUCACUGACUCAGUAACGAAGC
rnacentral:rRNA from 1 species